GACGAACGCUGGCGGCGUGCUUAACACAUGCAAGUCGAACGGAAAGGCCCUGCUUUUGUGGGGUGCUCGAGUGGCGAACGGGUGAGUAACACGUGAGUAACCUGCCCUUGACUUUGGGAUAACUUCAGGAAACUGGGGCUCAUACCGGAUAGGAGCUCCUGCUGCAUGGUGGGGGUUGGAAAGUUUCGGCGGUUGGGGAUGGACUCGCGGCUUAUCAGCUUGUUGGUGGGGUAGUGGCUUACCAAGGCUUUGACGGGUAGCCGGCCUGAGAGGGUGACCGGCCACAUUGGGACUGAGAUACGGCCCAGACUCCUACGGGAGGCAGCAGUGGGGAAUAUUGCACAAUGGGCGGAAGCCUGGUGCAGCAACGCCGCGUGCGGGAUGACGGCCUUCGGGUUGUAAACCGCUUUCGCCUGUGACGAAGCGUGAGUGACGGUAAUGGGUAAAGAAGCACCGGCUAACUACGUG
rnacentral:rRNA from 1 species